rnacentral:rRNA from 1 species
AUGGCGUGUGCGCCAAAUUAUAUUGCCAUUGGCCUUGCCAACUAUGGUUUAUAUACGGGAACAAGGGUACUCUCACCGAGCUACAAGAACUUCCCACGGAAAUCCUCCUACAAGUUUCUCAAGGUCCGUGCCCUGCAGGGAAAUGAUGGUCGUAGAAGGCUGAUUGACAUAAUCCGAAUCAUCCCAGAGCUGUCAAGAAACUAUUUCAAAAGCGGGUCCAGGAGAGCUCUUUUCGGCGGCAUCGCGCUACUGGGUGGCUUUUAUGUUGCACAGACAAUAUCCCUGUCGUUCGGUGCUUUGGGCGUGAACGAUGUUAUAGCAGCAGUUGUGUGUGUGCUCCUGACCGAGUACGUGACAAAGUUCUACUACAGCCGGCCUAAGGUUACCUUCGCCGUCGCGCUCCUCAACAAUUUCAAGAUGGGUUUCACAUAUGGCCUCUUCAUUGAUGCCUUCAAGCUUGCUAGCUGA